GACGAACGCUGGCGGCGUGCUUAACACAUGCAAGUCGAACGGAAAGGCCCUGCUUUUGUGGGGUGCUCGAGUGGCGAACGGGUGAGUAACACGUGAGUAACCUGCCCUUGACUUUGGGAUAACUUCAGGAAACUGGGGCUAAUACCGGAUAGGAGCUCCUGCUGCAUGGUGGGGGUGGGAAAGUUUCGGCGGGUGGGGAUGGACUCGCGGCUUAUCAGCUUGUUGGUGGGGUAGUGGCUUACCAAGGCUUGGGCGGGUAGCCGGCCUGAGAGGGUGACCGGCCACAUUGGGACUGAGAUACGGCCCAGACUCCUACGGGAGGCAGCAGUGGGGAAUAUUGCACAAUGGGCGGAAGCCUGAUGCAGCAACGCCGCGUGCGGGAUGACGGCCUUCGGGUUGUAAACCGCUUUCGCCUGUGACGAAGCGUGAGUGACGGUAAUGGGUAAAGAAGCACCGGCUAACUACGUG
rnacentral:rRNA from 1 species